rnacentral:rRNA from 1 species
GAGGAAGUAAAAGUCGUAACAAGGUUUCUUCGGCCGGACGCUCCGGCGUUUGGUUACCUAUCGAAGCCUUUUCAUACCCAGUCCGCCGCCGCGGGCAACAUCCGCCUGUUGCUGGAAUACAUCUCUUUUGGGGGUCCACCAGCAGCUGCAUAUUCACGUAUGUGGUUCACAGAUCAAACGCGGGUGGCCAAUUGUUCGAACGCAAUGGUUAAGAUAUGACCGUAGCGGCUCUGCGGAGAGCCAGAAACUAGUUCCGUAGGUGAACCUGCGGAAGGAUCAUUA